AGAACGAACGCUGGCGGCAGGCCUAACACAUGCAAGUCGAACGCUCUCGCAAGAGAGAGUGGCGCACGGGUGCGUAACGCGUGGGAAUGUACCUCUAGGUACGGAACAACCCAGGGAAACUUGGGCUAAUACCGUAUAAUAUCUUCGGAUCAAAGAUUUAUCGCCUAGAGAUCAGCCCGCGUAGGAUUAGCUAGUUGGUGAGGUAAUGGCUCACCAAGGCUACGAUCCUUAGCUGGUCUGAGAGGAUGAUCAGCCACACUGGAACUGAGACACGGUCCAGACUCCUACGGGAGGCAGCAGUGAGGAAUAUUGGACAAUGGGGGCAACCCUGAUCCAGCCAUGCCGCGUGAGUGAUGAAGGCCUUCGGGUUGUAAAACUCUUUUAGAUGUGAAGAUGAUGACGGUAACAUCAGAAAAGCUCCGGCUAACUUCGUGCCAGCAGCCGCGGUAA
rnacentral:rRNA from 1 species